UCACUGCUUGCGCAGGCAGUCUGUUUAGAGUCCCCACCAUUACGUGCUGGCAACUAAACAUAGGGGUUGCGCUCGUUGCGGGACUUAACCCAACACCUCACGGCACGAGCUGACGACGGCCAUGCAGCACCUUGCUUUGUGUCCCGAAGGAAAGACUCAUCUCUGAGUCGGUCACGCGCAUUCUAGCCUAGGUAAGGUUCCUCGCGUAUCAUCGAAUUAAACCACAUGCUCCACCACUUGUGCGGGCCCCCGUCAAUUCCUUUGAGUUUCACCCUUGCGGGCGUACUCCCCAGGUGGGAUACUUAACGCUUUCGCUAAGCCAGUGACAGUGUAUCGCCAACAUCGAGUAAUCAUCGUUUACAGCGUGGACUAC
rnacentral:misc_RNA from 1 species